rnacentral:lncRNA from 1 species
AAAAGGAGAAAAAAGUUGGUAAAUUGAAGGCUAAGAAGAUCAAGCUCUAGGGACUUCAAUGUUGUUUAAUGACUAAUUUUAACUUAGGAAACAAACCUAUAUUUUUGUGAUGACUGAUUCGUAGCUAAUUGUGCACUGUUUUUGUGGUGAAUCAGUUGUGGAAGUUGUAUUGAUUCACCCCAAAAAUCUUUUGUUGUGCUUAUAUUUGGGUGAAAGAUGUAUUGUUAAGUAUUUUGUUGGCUAAAUAUAACUAUGCCUUGUUAUUAGGAUGAAAGUUGUAUUGCUUAACUAUUUUGUUGGUAACAGUUGUGGAAGUUGUAUUGUUAAGUAUGUAUUGCCUUGUUGUUGGCUAUAUAUAACUAUGUAUUGUUAUUAUGGUGAAAGUUAUAUUGUCAACUAUUUUGUUG